CAGCCGCCGCGGUAAUACCAGCACCUCGAGUGGUCAGGAGGUUUAUUGGGCCUAAAGCAUCCGUAGCCGGUUGCAUAAGUUUUCGGUUAAAUCUAUGCGCUUAACGUAUAGGCCGCCGAAAAUACUGUGCAGCUAGGGAGUGGGAGAGGUACACGGUACUCGAUAGGAAGGGGUAAAAUCCUUUGAUCUAUUGAUGACCACCUGUGGCGAAGGCGGUGUACCAGAACACGUUCGACGGUGAGGGAUGAAAGCUGGGGGAGCAAACCGGAUUAGAUACCCGUGUAGUCCCUGUCUCUUAUAC
rnacentral:rRNA from 1 species